rnacentral:pre_miRNA from 1 species
GAACAGUUAAGAGAGCUUUCUUCAGUCCAGUCAUGGGUGGCAAUGGGAUUUAAUUAGCUGCCGACUCAUUCAUCCAAAUACUGAGUUAAAGGGCUAGCUGAGGAAGUUACCCAGUAAAUGAGUGAAUGAUGCGGGAGACAAAUUGAAUCUUAUGCUUCCUGUACUUGGACUGAAGGGAGCUCCCUUUACUGUUCUU